rnacentral:rRNA from 2 species
GGGUUGUGAGGUUAAGCGACUAAGCGUACACGGUGGAUGCCCUGGCAGUCAGAGGCGAUGAAGGACGUGCUAAUCUGCGAUAAGCGCCGGUAAGGUGAUAUGAACCGUUAUAACCGGCGAUUUCCGAAUGGGGAAACCCAGUGUGACUCGUCACACUAUCAUUAACUGAAUCCAUAGGUUAAUGAGGCGAACCGGGGGAACUGAAACAUCUAAGUACCCCGAGGAAAAGAAAUCAACCGAGAUUCCCCCAGUAGCGGCGAGCGAACGGGGAGGAGCCCAGAGCCUGAAUCAGCAUGUGUGUUAGUGGAAGCGUC